rnacentral:lncRNA from 1 species
GCCAAUCACUGUGGUAUCUAAGUACUAGCUGUCCUUUUGAACAGUCUGUGUCACGUAAAGAGGGAUCCAUCUCUCUUAACUUCAGACUUCUAAAGGCUGUCUAGUCUCACUAGUUCACUAUGCUCCCUUUAAAGAUGAGGAGGAAAGACAAACAUCUCCAGAGAGUUAACCUUCACAUCUAUUUUUUUUACCCCUGUGUUGUGGUGGAAGUUCACUACACUCAUGAAGUUGUUGUUCACGGACAGAUUUGGCUAGACAGCUUUCAGAUUUCUAAAAGAAGGCAACGAACUCAGACUCAGACUACAAGGGAACAGAAAUUAUAUGGAUCUAUGGAUCUCAUGUGCAAAGCAGGAAACUCAACAAGUCUGUACAAGAGGUUGGAGCUCAAACUUUUUUCUUUUUCUUUCUGCUGUUCUGAAGGAGCUUAAUUGCUUGUGAGAGUCUAUUUUUCUCCAUUGCUUCCACUCUCCAUUUUGUGUUCUCAAGUCCUAACAUCACCACUGGCAGUUGAACAGAACCAAAAAAAAGGAAACAGAGCAAGUGAAUAUAUACGAAAAAUAUGCCAGGAUGUGACACCAAUAUGGUGGAAGACUGACAGUAAUAGAUCUGGUCCAUUUCUGGGAAUUUCCCUCUCUGUUAUUAAAUGCACUGAGCUGAUUUAUACUGCAGAUUGACGUUUACCACUUAUAACUAACACAACAGGUGCAGAGGGUGCAAAAAGUUCUUGUGAUUUGCUCAAGUAGGCUUCCAGAAAACUAUCAGAGGUCUGAUCAAACAAGGACAACUACAAAUAAUAGAAGUGUCAUCACCACCACAAACACCCCAGAGGAUCCUGUGAAAUGUUCUGUGGGUUUCUGGAGCGCUUUAUAGCUGAGGAGUUCAACAUAUCAGAUGAUUUAUAAGAAGAUCUGCUUUCUCUCUACUCAUGUUGUAUCAUCUUGUCUGAGGCAGCCCAUGCUCCUGCUUCAAGAGCUGUAUUUGGAAAUUGGUCAUAUUGUAGUGUUUCUGCUUCCAACAAUGAACUUGUAUAAGCGCAUCAUGUUUCAUCGCACUAGGCAGCAUAACAGUAGCAGGCCUGUGAUUAUUUAUUUCUCCCCAGUUUUUGAACAUUUCAUUAAUUCCUCUCAAAUACCCAUGGUCAGUAUGAGCAGGACACUUUUGCUGCACAAAGUUAAGCAUGUAAAUAUAAGGUGUUUUUUUUUCCUUUUUUUCUCUUUCUUUUUCUCUUUUUCCUUUCUUCGAAUGUUUGUCAUACUUAGAGAUGACUUCAUGGUGUAUUUUUUUUUUGUUGUUCUGAACUGUUGUGGAAUCUAUAGUGAUAGUUGAAAGCAUAUUUGGGAGAGAAACAUUGAAGAAAAAGAACUCAUCACAAUAUAUGCAAUUCUUAUGAGUUAUUAAACCUGAAAGCCACAAAUUAAUGGAAAAAAAUAUAUAUAAAUUGUAGCCUGAUUUUUAUAGAAGGCAUUAUGUAUUCCAGAACUAUAAUAGUGGCACACUCAGAAAAGGCAUUUUAAUCCUGCAAACUAUUAUUUGGAUACUUUCAAAUACUUUUCAAUACUCCCUGAGUGUGCAGUCCUAAUAAAGUGGACUAUUCCAGCA